UACGGAGGGGGCUAGCGUUGUUCGGAAUUACUGGGCGUAAAGCGCACGUAGGCGGCUACUCAAGUCAGAGGUGAAAGCCUGGAGCUCAACUCCAGAACUGCCUUUGAAACUAGGUAGCUUGAACACGGGAGAGGUGAGUGGAAUUCCGAGUGUAGAGGUGAAAUUCGUAGAUAUUCGGAAGAACACCAGUGGCGAAGGCGGCUCACUGGACCGGUAUUGACGCUGAGGUGCGAAAGCGUGGGGAGCAAACAGG
rnacentral:rRNA from 1 species